AGAGAUAGAGGCGCAGGGCUUAAAAGUAACCUCGUUCAUAACCCGUCGAAGGGGAACGAUGCGAAAGGAAGUCUUGCCGAAACCGUUGCGCGUUCGCACCGCGCGGCAGGUUGGGCGUCGAUAAAACAUAUCGGCGACUGUCGCUUUUUGCGGAGGGCUAUCGUG
rnacentral:ncRNA from 1 species